AGUGAACGCUGGCGGUAGGCCUAACCCAUGCAAGUCGAACGGCAGCACAGGAGAGCUUGCUCUCUGGGUGGCGAGUGGCGGACGGGUGAGGAAUACAUCGGAAUCUACUCUGUCGUGGGGGAUAACGUAGGGAAACUUACGCUAAUACCGAAUACGACCUAUGGGUGAAAGCAGGGGACCUUCGGGCCUUGCGCGAUUGAAUGAGCCGAUGUCGGAUUAGCUCGUUGGCGGGGUAAAGGCCCACCAAGGAGAUGAUCCGUAGCUGGACUGAGAGGAUGUUCAGCCACACUGUACCGUAGACACGGUCCAGAAUCCUACGGGAGGCAGCAGUGGUGAAUAUGGGACAGUGGGUGCAAGCCUGAUCCAGCCAUACCGCGUGGGUGAAGAAGGCCUUCGGGUUGUAAAGCCCUUUUGUUGGGAAAGAAAUCCAGCUGGCUAAUACCCGGUUGGGAUGACGGUACCCAAAGAAUAAGCACCGGCUAACUUCGUGCCAGCAGCCGCCGUAA
rnacentral:rRNA from 1 species